UUUCCCAGUCACGAUAAGGGUCGUCGUUGACGACCGACAGUGAACUAGUACCGCGAGGGAAAGGUGAAAAGCACCCCUGUUAGGGGAGUGAAAUAGUAACUGCAACCGAUGGCUAACAAGUCAGUGGGAGCAUCUUUAUGAUGUGACCGCCUGCCUUUUGUAUAAUGAGUCUGCGAGUUUUUGCCCGUAGCAAGCCUAAGCCGCUAAGCGGUGAAAGCGUAGCGAAAGCGAGUCCAAAUAGGGCGCUUAGUUGCUGGCAAAAGACCCGAAGGGGAGGUGAUCUAACCAUGGCCAGGAUGAAGCUUCGGUAAAACGAAGUGAAGGUCCGAACCGGUCAAUCUUGAGAAAUUGUCGGAUGAGCUGUGGUUAGGAGCGAAAGACUAAUCAAACCCCCUGAUAGCUGGUUCUUUCCGAAAUAUAUUUGGGUAUAGCCUCGAGUGCUGAUCGACGGAGGUAGAGCACUAAAUAAGCUAGGGCCCCUACCGGGGUACUGAACUUAAUUAAACUCCGAAUACCGUUGAGUGAAGCUCGGGAGUCAGACAGUGCGGGCUAACCUGCAUUGUCAAAAGGAGAAUAAUCCAAACCAUCAGUUAAGGUCCCAAAAUACGGCUCAGUGAAAAAGGAUGUGAAUUUACUUAGACAAUGGGGAUGUUGGCUUAGAGGCAGCCAUCAUUUAAACAGUGCGUAACAGCUGACCCAUCGAGUGAAUUUGCGCCGAAAAUGAUCGGGACUUAAGCCGUAUACCGAAGCUAUGGAUUCAACCGCAAGGUUGAGUGGUAGGAAAGCGUUCCAAGUGCAGCGAAGUGGAAGGGGCAACCAACCAUGGAGCGCUUGGAAGUGAGAAUGCAGACAUAAGUAACGAUAAAGAUGGUUAAAAUCCAUCUCGCCUUAAUUCCAAGGAUUCCUGGGGAAGGUUCGUCCUCCCAGGGUUAGUCGGGUGCUAAGAUGAGGCCGUAAGGAAUAAUCGAUGCCAAGCAGGUUUAAUAUUCCUGCACCACUAAAUGUUCGUUUGAUCUCAGGAGUGACGGAGAAGGUUAAUACAGCGACGUGUUGAAUCGUCGUCCAAGUCAAUAGCUUUAUCGGGGAUAAAAUACCGGUUUAAUGUGAAUGACAAUGGGAUCCCAAAGCCACGGCCUAGGGAGAUUGUCCGAUACCAUGCUCCCAAGAAAAGCUUCGGAGUUAGAACAUUGAGUGCCCGUACCGUAAACCGACACAGGUGGAAUAGUUGAGUAUACUAAGGCGCGCGAGUGAAAUCUCUCUAAGGAACUCGGCAAAUUGACCCCGUAUCUUCGGUAUAAGGGGUGCCCCGUGAGGGGCCGCAGCUAAGCGCAUCAACCGACUGUUUAGCAAAAACACAGCUCUCUGCUAAGUCGCAAGACGACGUAUAGGGAGUGACACGUGACCAAUGCGGAAAGGUGAAAGCGUGAGGUGCAAGCUUCGCGUCUAAGCCCCCGUGAAUGUCGGCCGUAACUAUAACGGUCCUAAGGUAGCGAAAUUCCUUGUCGGGUAAGUUCCGACCCGCGCGAAUGGU
rnacentral:rRNA from 1 species